CAUAACUCAGCUGGAUAGAGUGUCAGACUUCGAAUCUGAAAGUCGUGAGUUCGAAUCUUACUGGG
rnacentral:tRNA from 1 species